AGUGAACGCUGGCGGUAGGCCUAACACAUGCAAGUCGAACGGCAGCACAGUAAGAGCUUGCUCUUACGGGUGGCGAGUGGCGGACGGGUGAGGAAUACAUCGGAAUCUACUUUUUCGUGGGGGAUAAGGUAGGGGAACUUACUCUAAUACCGCAUACGACCUACGGUUGUAAGCAGUGGAUCUUCGGACCUUGCGCGAUUGAAUUAGCCGAUGCCGGUUUGGCUGGUGGGCGGGGUAAAGGCCCACCAAGGCGAGGAGCCGUAGAUGGUCUGAGAGGCUGGUCGGCCACACUGGAACUGAGACACGCUCCAGACUACUACGGGAGGCAGCAGUCGGGAAUAUUGGACAAUGGGGGGAAGCAUGAUCCAGCCAUACCGCGUGGGUGAAGACGGCCUUCGGGUUGUAAAGCCCUUUUGUUGGGAAAGAAAAGCAGCAGGUUAAUACCCCGCUGUUCUGACGGUACCCAAAGAAUAAGCACCGGCUAACUUCGUG
rnacentral:rRNA from 1 species